AGUCUUGGUGGUGAUCCUUCUGCUUCAGCAUCCUGAGUGGCUGAGAUUACAAGCCUACACCACCAUGUCCAGAUCACUGUCAUCUAUCAAUAUGGAACAAAAGAAGUAUGAGUGAGCUGAAAAGAUUGGGAGCACCAUCAGACUACAACAUAAGUGAUCACCAGAGAGAAAGUGCCUCUGAUAAGGAUGAUGAGAAGGUUUCAGCCAGGGUGCCAGUACUUCUGCAAGAUAAAGAUGGACGUCAGAACAUCUCCUCUUUCUGAAAAAGGUCAUCAUUUAAUUCCCCUGCCUUGCUCCAUCACUGGUGGAGAGUAGUGGUUAGGACCAUGUCAAUGUCGCAGAAGAUUUUACAGUGCAAUAGUUGUGGGUCUUUGUCAGCUACAUUCUCCAUAGAGAGAGAUACAAAGCAAACAAUCCCAAGACCUUACAUAUAGGUAUUGCAAGAGGAAAGAACAUUCAUCCUUCUGCCACCUAAAGGCAAAUUGUUUGUAUUUUGGCAUAUUCCUCAAUUUUUAAUGCAUUUUUAUGUAUCACAAAUA